CUCCAUUGACUACAGAUGUAGCCAGAGUGCAACAGCUGGUUACAAGCCAGACUCGGUGACUCCUGACUUUAAGAUCUGAAUGUCUUUUAGCAUGCUUAUCCUGCAUGUCUGUCAUCACAGCAUGGCCAGCACCAGGCCCUGAGCCUGACAGCGGUGGCUGUGCAGCCUCAAGCCUGUGGUCAAGAUGGAUGAUGUGCAGACAUGAUUUGCCAGAUGUGGUAGGAGACCACUGCUGGAGGACAGGCUGUGCAUCCAGCCUGGCACAAGAGACAAGAUAUUUCCUAGUCUGUGGUUGGGAUAUCAGAAGGGACAGAGCCGUGUUCCCAUCCUGCAGCACCAGGCCCAACAUGGUUUUGCUCAGAGAAGUUUUCUUGGACCACACUACUACAGGGCUGGGAGCUACAGAGCAAACCCACAGGAAAGGGAGCACACAGAAGGCUUCAUCCUGCAAGGCACUGAGCAGGCUGCACCCCUCACCAGGCUGAAUAGGGAAUUUGGUUCAUCGCACAAUUUCCCUCUGUGAGU